rnacentral:rRNA from 1 species
CGUCCAGACUCCUACGGGAGGCAGCAGUGGGGAAUAUUGGGCAAUGGGCGCAAGCCUGACCCAGCAACGCCGCGUGAAGGAAGAAGGCUUUCGGGUUGUAAACUUCUUUUAAGAGGGAAGAGUAGAAGACGGUACCUCUUGAAUAAGCCACGGCUAACUACGUGCCAGCAGCCGCGGUAAUACGUAGGGGGCGAGCGUUAUCCGGAUUUACUGGGUGUAAAGGGAGCGUAGACGGUUCUGCAAGUCUGAAGUGAAAGCCCGUGGCUUAACCGCGGAACGGCUUUGGAAACUGUGGAACUGGAGUGCUGGAGAGGCAAGCGGAAUUCCUAGUGUAGCGGUGAAAUGCGUAGAUAUUAGGAGGAACACCAGUGGCGAAGGCGGCUUACUGGACUGUAACUGACGUUGAGGCUCGAAAGCGUGGGGAGCAAACAGGAUUAGAUACCCGUGUAU